rnacentral:ncRNA from 1 species
UAACCUUACUUGUGAAAGUAAGGUGAACAGUCAGAAGUCAGCAGAGGUCAUAGUACCUAUCUUCGCGCAAAGAUGGGGAAGGAC